AGAGUUUGUAUCGGCUCAGGAUGAACGCUGGCGGCGUGCUAACACAUGCAAGUCGAGCGAAGCACUCUAAUUCGAUUCUUCGGAUGAAGAUUUUUGUGACUGAGCGGCGGACGGGUGAGUAACGCGUGGGCAACCUGCCUUACACAGGGGGAUAACAGUUAGAAAUGACUGCUAAUACCGCAUAAGACCACGGUACUGCAUGGUACAGUGGUAAAAACUCCGGUGGUGUAAGAUGGGCCCGCGUCUGAUUAGGUAGUUGGCGGGGUAACGGCCCACCAAGCCGACGAUCAGUAGCCGACCUGAGAGGGUGACCGGCCACAUUGGGACUGAGACACGGCCCAGACUCCUACGGGAGGCAGCAGUGGGGAAUACUGCACAAUGGGGGAAACCCUGAUGCAGCGACGCCGCGUGAGCGAUGAAGUAUUUCGGUAUGUAAAGCUCUAUCAGCAGGGAAGAAAAUGACGGUACCUGACUAAGAAGCCCCGGCUAACUACGUG
rnacentral:rRNA from 1 species